rnacentral:lncRNA from 10 species
GUGAAGGAUGUGUUUGCUUUCCCUUCUGCCAUGAUUAGAGUCCUAUAAAGGGAACCAUUUACCAAGCCCAGUCACUGGUGGCAGCCUUGGAGCUCACAUUCAGAACACAGCCACUGACUUGAUUCAUUCAUGGGCCUGGCGCAGUGGCUCAUGCCUGCAAUCCCAGCACUUUGGGAGGCUGAGGCAGGCGGAUCACCCGAGGUCAGGAGUUCAAGACCAGCCUGAUCAACGUGGCAAAACCCCAUCUCUACUAGAAAUACAAAAAUUGGCUGGGCAUGGUGGCGUGUGCCUGUAAUCCCAGCUACUCGGAAGGCGGAGGCAGGAGAAUUGCUUGAACCCAAGAGGUGGAGGUUGGGCCAAGAUUGUGUCACUGCAUUCCAGCCUGGGCAAUAGAGCAAGACUCUGUCAAAAAAAAAAAAAAAGUUCAUUCAUGUUGUUCUGGGUCGCUGUUGUUCAUUUCUUUUCAUUGCUGUAUAGUAUUACAUUGUCUGCCCGCUAUGGUAUGAAUGUUUGUGUCCCACCCAAAUUUCAUAUAUUGAAAUCUAAUCUCCAAUAGUAUUAAGUGGUGGGGGCUUUAGGAAGUGAAUGGGUUACAAAGGCUCUCCCCCCAUAAAUGGAAUUAGUACCCUCAUAAAAGAGGCUUGAAAAAAUCCUGUUUGUCCCUUUUGCCAUGUGAGGACACAGCAAAAGGGUGCCAUCUAUGAUGAACAGGGCCUUACCAGACAUCAAAUCUGUUGACGUUUGCAUCUUAGACUACCUAGCCUCUAGAACCAUGAGCCAUAAAUUCUGUUGUUUGUAAAUUACCCAGUUGAGGUAUUCA